GGACCUGAAGAAUAAUUUGAUCAGUACGGUGGAGCCCGGGGCCUUCAGAGGUCUGCAUGCUCUGAGGAGACUGGAUCUGUCUAACAACAGGAUCGGCUGUGUCUCGCCUGAAAUGUUUCUCGAUUUGGGCAGCGUUUCAAAAUUGAAUCUAUCUGGGAACAUCUUCUCCACACUGACUGUGGGAAUCUUCACGCACCUUGUGGCUCUCAAAGUGCUGUAAGGACA